AGGAGUGUGGCGCAAUUGGUAGCGCAUCGGUCUCCAAAACCGAGGGUUGCAGGUUCGAGUCCUGUCACUCCUGCAA
rnacentral:tRNA from 2 species